rnacentral:piRNA from 1 species
UAUCACUGGAACCUGAGAGGUUGGAAAAGC